rnacentral:lncRNA from 1 species
AAAGUCUGUUUCUCUCUCUCCCUCGUGACCAUACACCGGAGCCGGAGACGAGGACCGAGCUCCGGUACCUUUCGUCUUCUCCGAUGAUCACACGACACCCCCACACCCUGAGCAUCCACCUCACCGCACAUCCACACCUCCCCUCUCCUGUCUCUUCGUCGAGUGGCGGUUGGCAGCGCCGCCUGAAGCGGCGGCGGUGGUGGCCACUGUCGCUGAUUUCCGGCGAAACACACCCCCCUUUUAGCGAUCCAGCAAAUGAUCACCACCACCACGGUCCGGUGGUGGUGCGGCGACGGUAACAAGCGGGAGAGAGAGAGAACGAGAGACGGCGGAGCACAGCAGUAGCGGCAGCGGUGGUAGGCAUCUCAGACCGACAGUCGACGUCUCGGACCGGCAGUCGGUGUCUCGGUCCGGCGGUCUGAGUCAAGGACCGGCGGUCCUUGCCAUUAUUCGACGGGGUCUGUUCGGAAGUCCUUGUUCGGGUCAGGUUAGUUCAAGUUAAAAGCUGGUUCUUGUCGGCUCAUGCUCAGAGUCGUUCCGGAUUUGGUGCUCGAGUCAGCUCGGUUCGUUCGGGUCAAAACUUGUUCAACACAGUAUUGUUCAAGGUCUGGGUUACUCAGUUUAAACUCAGAUACAGUGUUGGAGAUUAUUUCGGGAGUUUCGGGUCUCGUUUCUGGACAAAGUUGCUUUGGUUCAGAUUUCACUUUGGUUUCCGGUGCGGCUUGGAUCUCGGCUCAGAUUUCACAGUAAACAAAGUCAACAACGGUCGGGUUUGGUCAGCUUUGGUCAACCUGUGGUGCGGGUCGCGCGGUUCGGUUCAGUCAACGUGGGUCAGCGGUGGUUCGGGUUCGUGAAUCGGGUCGACUCGGUGCAACUCGGCUCGACCCGGUUAACUCAUUAAUUGACUCGGUCAAACUGAGUCAACUCAGCCGACCAACUCAGUUGACCCAGUCAACUCGGUCAACACGCGUUUCGGCAUAAUGAUUUGGAAUAUUGUAGAUUGCACACUAGAUCCUCAAGGAGAUUGGUGAUAUCAAGAAACAGAAGAGAUCAGUGGAGGAUCAUUCUCCAUUGAUGCCUAGAUCGCUGAAUUUCGACACUCCGGUCAUAACCUCCCAGCAUUCUGCAGCUCCGGAUGUCCAAUACCUGGGUGGAUUAGCAAGAAUGCGUUCUGGAUCAUCGGCAAUGACUCAGGCUCUAGGAUCCUACUUUCAACCUUCAGGAUCCUCUGUUCAACAUCAAGGAUCCUUCUUCCAGCAUCAGGGAUCCUUCACCAGUUCAGGAGGGUACAUGGGGACACAGCCAGCUCAAGGAUCCUCUCAGUUUCAAGGAUCCUCUCAGGUUCAAGGAUUCUCUCAAGUUCAAGGAUCUUCUCAGGUUCAAGGAUUCUCUCAGGUUCAAGGAUCCUCCUUUCAGCCU